CAAUAGCGUAUAUUAAAGUUGUUGCAGUUAAAAAGCUCGUAGUCUGAUUUCUGUCGAGGACGGCCAGUCCGCCCUCAGGGUGUGUACUUGGUUCUGCCUUGACAUCUUUCUCGGGCUUAGUGUGUCCUUCACGGGAUGCGCUAAACUGGGAACUAUUACUUUGAGGAAAUUAGAGUGUUCAAAGCAGGUCUCGCCUUGAAUACGUUAGCAUGGAAUAAUAAGAUAGGACUUUAGUUCAAUUUUGUUGGUUUCUUGAGCUGAAGUAAUGAUUAAUAGGGAUAGUUGGGGGCACUCGUAUUUAACUGUCAGAGGUGAAAUUCUUGGAUUUGUUAAAGACGAACUACUGCGAAAGCAUUUGCCAAGGAUGUUUUCAUUGA
rnacentral:rRNA from 1 species